rnacentral:rRNA from 1 species
UACGUAGGGACCGAGCGUUGUCCGGAUUCAUUGGGCGUGAAGAGCUCGUAGGCGGCUGCUCAAGUCGAAUGUGAAAACUCGAGGCUCAACCUCGAGCCUGCAUUCGAUACUGGGCGGCUAGAGUCUGGUAGGGGGAUCUGGAAUUCCUGGUGUAGCGGUGGAAUGCGCAGAUAUCAGGAAGAACACCAAUGGCGAAAGCAGCUCUCUGGGACGGUACUGACGCUGAGACGCGAAAGCGUGGGGAGCGAACAGG